CUGACACACGUCUCCGAACUCGGACCAGACUCGCAUUUCAGUGAAAAAUUCGGCAGGGAGGUAUUUUGAAAUACCUCAUAAAAUUCCGAAUCGGGCCCUCUUCUCUCAGCCUUUAAUUAUUUAUUUCCAUCUUUUAAUUUAGAACUCUAAUUUUAAUUUUAGUCCAAGAUUAGAUUAAAUUUCUUUUAUUCCCAUUUUAAAUUUUUAUUUUUUAGAUAUUAUCCUUUUAAUUAUUUUUUUCUUUUUAAGUCCAAAAAGUCCAAAAUCCAAAAAAGGUCCAGGUGCAGAAUAACAGCAUCACGCGUAUGCUGUUCCAGUCCAAAUCCAGUUCACACUGCCUCAUCUGAAACAAAUCCAGUAAAAAAACAAACGCAUUUCCCUUUUUCUCCUCCACAAACUACUGAUUUUUUGCUCAUCAGUAACAAAUCCUAGCCUCAAACUCACUCUAUAAGUAGAGACCUGCACAACAAAGAAAAACACGAAAAAAAACAGAGAACAACAGAACACGGGAAA
rnacentral:lncRNA from 1 species